rnacentral:misc_RNA from 1 species
AACGCACCUUGCGCUCCUUGGUAUUCCGAGGAGCAUGCCUGUUUGAGUGUCAUGAAAUUCUCAACUGCCCUUUUAGCAUUUAUGUCAAGGGUGAAGUUGGAGUUGGAGGAUAAUUGCUGGCGCAACUAAGGUUGCUUGUUGGCUCCUCUUGAAUGGAUGAGCUUUUCUGAUAGAUCAUAGCUCAGUAACACUAAUGUGAUAAUUAUCUACGUUAGAUGUGAAAGCUGUGAGUAGAGUGACUUCAAAUAUAUGAAGAUGCUCCUACAGAAAAGGUAUGUCUUGGGGAAAACAAACCCUUGACUUUCAAAUACAAUGACAAAUCUGACCUCAAAUCAGGUAGGACUACCCGCUGAACUUAA